AUCCCCCAGCAUGUAAAGAUCUCAGGUCGAAUAUAUUUAACAUGUUUAGAAUUAACAAUUCUAAAUCAGGGAGGCUCUGAUUAUCUUGGGAGAGAAGAAAAGUCACUUUUUACACACCUCACACCACAGGAUAAUCUGGAAAGAUAUCACUUAGAACCAUUCCAUGAUCAAUCUUUUGAUGACUUUCACUGCAAGGAGGAAUUCGAACCCAAGUGUGUGCCUCUCUUUAGGAAAUAAACACUGUACAAUGUCUUCUGUUCAUAUUUGACCAACUUCAGUUAUUUUACUGUUUUUCCAUGUUUAACUUUGAUAAAGCACUUUUUAUGGUUUAUGUUUACGGCCAGUUUGUGCAGCAGUUAAGGCAAUCACUUAGCUUUAGUUUUGUUGGUGACAUAACUUACAAUGGAGCAUCACUACUGUUUCUAUGGUAACACAUUGACUAGGCUUCAGAUGAAAUUUCAUUACAGCCAUAAACAAAUGUUUGCAUGGGAAUAUCUGUGAAUAUAUCCGUACAAUAAUGCAAGGACUUGUACAGAUUUUUCACAUUUAAGUUAUUGAAACCCAAAAAAGUUUUUGAUGCGUGUCCACCAUGUUUCAUGAGCUUGAGUCAAAAGUUUCUUUAACAGCUGGUCUAUUUCUUUUUCAUGCUUGUUGUCCAGAUUUUCUUUUUCCUCUUCAUUUUUCUGCUCUUUCAUUUCUUCUUCCUGUCUUCUCAGUAACUCACUGAUUUCUUUCAGGCUUUUCUUAUUGGCCACGAUUUUCAGUAUGUCACAGAUUUGGUCCAGGUGUUUUUUCCUUCUUUGUUCUUCAUUGUGGGCUGAAAGUGCUUUUAAGAGGUCAUACUGCUCAUCUUUGUGUUGAAUCUGUUUCUCAAACUCUUCCCUCAGAGCUGCAUGUUCCCUUCUGUGUUUGUCUUUGAAUUCAUUGAUCUCUUCAGCUUUCUCUCUGGCUUCAUCAAUGAAUGUCUUCUUCAGAUUCUCAAUUUCGUUUUUAUAUUUCUCCUCAAUAGCCUCUUUUUCUUGUCUUUCUUGUUCUCUUCUGAUCCUGUCCUCUUCCUUCUUUUCCUUUUCAUAUUUUUCUCUCUCCUGUUCAUAUUCUUUUUUCAGUUCUUGUAGUCUUGUUUGUUCUUUUUGUCGUCUCUCUUCCUCUUUUUGAUUUCGUUUUUCCCACUGUUCUGUUUGUUGUUUCUCCAACGUCGCUCUUUCUUUAUUCAUCCUUUCUCUGGUCUCCUCCAGCUGUCUGUUUAUGUUUUCUUUUUCUUCUGAUUCUGACUUUAUCUUUUUCUCCAGAGCUUGAAGUUUCUGUUCCCACUCCUGUCGUUGAGAUUCUUCCUGUUCUCUCCUCUUCCUCUCUUCUUCUUCUCUCUUUUGCCACUCAAUUUGUCUGCUCUCUUGUUCCUUCUUGAUGAUUUCCUCUUUUUCUUGCAGUUCUUUUUCUCUCAGUCUUCUUUCCUUUUCAAUUUCUUCUCUCUGUUGUUUCUUUUGUUUUUCUUCUUGUUCCUGCCUUUUUAAAUCUUCUUCUUUUCUUUCCUUGUCAUAUUUUUCUCUUUCUUUUUCUAUCUCUUCUUUUAGUUCUUGUAGUCUUGUUUGUUCACUCUGUCGUCUCUGUUCCUCUUCACGAUUUCGUUUUUCCCACCAUUCUGUCUGUUGUUUCUCAAACCUCUCUCUCUCAUUUCUCAUCCUUUCUCUGGUCUCCUCCAGCUGUCUGUCACUGCUUUCUUUUUCCUUAGUUUCUGACUUAAUCUUUUUCUCCAGAGUUUGAAUUUUCUGUUCCCACUCCUGUCGUUGAGAUUCUUCCUGUUUUCUCCUCUUCCUCUCUUCUUCUUCUCUCAUUUUCCUUUCUUUACAUCUGCUCUCUUGUUCCUUCUUGAUGAUUUCCUCUUUUUCUUGCAGUUCUUUUUCUCUCAGUCUUCUUUCCUUUUCGAUUUCUUCUCUCUGUUGUCUCUUUUGCUUUUCUUCUUGUUCCUGUCUUUUUAAAUCUUCUUCUUUUCUUUCAUUUUCAUAUUUUUCUCUCUCCUGUUCAUAUUCUUUUUGAAGUUCUUGUAGUCUUGUUUGUUCACUUUGUCGUCUCUCUUCCUCAUCCUGAUUUCGUUUUUCCCACCAUUCUGUCUGUUGUUUCUCCAACCUCUCUCUUUCUUUAUUCAUCCUUUCUCUGCUCUCCUCCAGCUGUCUGUUUAUGUUUUCUUUUUCUUCUGAUUCUGACUUUAUCUUUUUCUCCAGAGCUUGAAGUUUCUGUUCCCACUCCUGUCGUUGAGAUUCUUCCUGUUCUCUCCUCUUCCUGUUUUCUUCUUCUCUCAUUUUCCUUUCUUCACAUCUGCUCUCUUGCUCCUUCCUGAUGAUUUCCUCUUUUUCUUGCAGCUCUUUUUCUCUCAGUCUUCUUUCUUCUUCUGUUUCUUCUCUUUGUUUUUCCAUAUUUUUUUCCAUUUCUUUUAUUUCCUGCUCAUGUUUUCUUUGAAGUUCCUCCUUCUCUUUCUUCAUCUCUUCUUCCUUCUCUCUAAGGGUCCUCUCCAUUUUUUUCUUUAUAGCAGUUUCAGCUUCUUGCAGCAUCUCGUUGGUGAAGCAGCUGCCUCCGUUUGUCUUCACCAUUGUGUCAAUCUUUGCUAUCAGCUCACUGACCUGCUCUCUGUUUUGUUUCUCACGGUUGUUGAACACGUGGUAUCUUCCUCCACAGUCAGCAAUCAGUUUCUUAAAGGAAUCAUCACAUUUCUUAUCAAUAAAUUCCUCAGCCGACAUGUUGUCAUGUUCUAGUGAAUCUCCUCCAGUUAGAAGGAUGAUGAUGAAUUUUUCUGCAUCCUUUCCGAAUCCUUCUUUGAUCAGUUUUAUCGUCUCCUUCUCCUCAGGUGUAAAUCGGUCGAUCUUUAACACCAACAAAAAGACAUGUGGUCCUGGAGCCAGAAGACUGACACAUUUGAUCAUCUCCUCAUGAACCUCUUCAUGGGACAAGCUGUCAUCAAACAGACCAGGAGUGUCGACCACAGCUACAGAGCGACCGUCCACUUCACCAUGUACUUUCUUACAGAAUUUGGUGACUGAAGUUUGGCUUAGUUCAGCCUUAAACUCUUUUCUUCCUAAGAUGGUGUUUCCUGAAGAGCUCUUUCCACUGCCAGUCUUCCCUAUCAGCACAAUCCUGAGACUCUCUGGGCUCUGCUUUUCAUCACCUGUGGAAUAAGGAGGGCCAAGAGUUACCUUUAAAUGCUGACAGAUGCAACAGUUAAGACACUAAUGUGUCACAUCCUUGAACUCACAUAUGAAGUAUUUAUAAUCAUCUUUUUCAAUACUUACAAUCAGGCAUCCUUUUUGUUUUCACAUCCUGAAGUUCAGCCUGCAGUUUGCUGAUCUUCUCUAUUUGGACAUAUGCAAAUGUCUCUGUUGUGUAGCUUUGUGGUUUGUCUUCAUUAUUUUGCAUCUUUUCCCCCAUAUCCAACAGCUGUUUGACUUGCGUUUUGUCCUUAUUGUCGAGCACCAAGAACCUUUUUUCACAGCUCUGAAUGAGCUCCUGAACUUCCUUGCUUUGGUCUACAAAGUUAAUAACAGCUGGAGCGGAAGGAUCUGACUCCACAGUGAACAGAAUCAUGGUGAAGUCAUUGACUGGAGGUCCAAAUGUGUCCUGGAUGGUCUUUAACUCUCCCUUGUCUUCAUCACUGAGUGGACCCACAGGUAGGACCAGGAUAAAGGCAUGAACACCUUCAGGAUCACAGAGGGAGACACUUCUGAGUGACUGCUCCAUCACAGUCUCCAGAGGGUUUUGAUACAAAACAGGAAGCUCCACCAGAGACACCCAACGUCCACACACCUCCCCCUGAUGUUUCACACACUCUGAUGAGCUGGAGGCUGAAUGAAGACCUGUCUGACCUAAAAUGACCUCUGCUGCUGAAGUCUUCCCUGCUCCUCUCCUCCCACACAGGACCAGGUUUAAUGCUGGUUUCAUCUCUUUGGACUUCAGUGUGAUCAGUUCAUCAGUCAGAGUGAGGGAGGCUCCUCUGUUCUCUCUAAGGAUGUUCAUGAUCUUCAUCAUCAGUGACCUGUGGUUGUUUUCAGCCAUGCUGUAGUGUCUUUCUCUGCAGUCGUUAAGUAGAUGUCUAAAAGAGGCGCUUGCUUCUCCUUCCUCAUGUGUGCUGAUGACCACUGAAUGUUUAAAAGCAUCUUGCUCAAACAAACUAAGGAUCAUCUUCAGGGUUUGUCUGUUCUCCUCAGUGAAAUCAGAAGGUUUCAGCAACAGCAGCAGAACAUUUGGUCCUGGAGGACAGAGACUCACAGCGUUCUUCAGCACUUCCACAGACAGACUGAAAAUGUCUGGAGUUUUCACUAGUGUUAAAGCCUGUCCUUCCCACUCUCCAGUCUCCACCAUUUGUUUGGUUACAAAAGGUUUUGUCAGAUUGUGUUUCCAGUGUUGUGUCCAGAUUGGUGUCCACUGUUGAGUCCAGUGUUGUUUCUUUUGGGUGAUGAAGUUACAAAGUUUUGUUUUUCUGUCAUCGUUAUUCCCCAGCAACAAAAGUCGGACUAUAACAAAACAGAAACAUGUAACAAAGAAACAGUGAGUUGUGAGGGAUUAUCUUACCAAUUUAAUUAUAAUCCUUAUAAAUUUUUUAAAUAUAUUUAAAUGUAUACAUACCAGGGGGAGAAACACCUUGCAUGAUACCAGGUCUUGCUUCUGCUUGUCGUGUGAUCGGUAAAUCAGAAGUGGUGUCAAUGAACACAUCACAGCUGACAUGCUCUCCUCUGUUCUCCUUCAUGAUUUGACCCAAACGUGUCAACAGCUCUGGAAGUUCAAGGCCUGUCUGAUCUAAGUACCCAUACCUACACUCUUCGAUCAUGUCUUUGAGGGGUGGAUACUGCAGAUAUUUUCCUCUGACAUCUGAGCUCUGCUCUCUUGGUGAUGAUAUCAGUAUCAAUGAAUGAUCAAAUGAUCGAUCACUGAAACGUUCAAGGACUCUGCAGAGUCUCUGUUUGUGUUCCUCAGUGAAGUCCUCAGGCUGUAAAACCAGCAGGAACACAUGAGGUCCAGGAUCAGAGAGUCUCACACAGUCUGUCACAGUUUUUGUCAGUUUUUCUUCAGAGAUGUUGGGAUGGAUCAGAUCUGGAGUGUUGAUGAGAACUAUGUCUUUGUCCUUUAUUCGACCUUUUUCUUUCAAACAGUCACCACACUCCUCUUUGUCGAACACACUCUCUCCCAGUAUGAAGUUCCUCACUGAGCUCCUCCUAGACUCGCUGUUGCCCAGCAGAACAACCCUCAGCUCAGACACUGUGAGAAACAAGGAUAUAGAAAAGAUUGACUUGUACCUGCAUUGACUUAUAACUUUAUUCCUAGCUCAUUUCAAAUGUUUGAUUAUCUACUCAGAGGUUUUAAUCACAGAUUCUCAGGGAUAGAAGUUUCACUCACUGUCAGGUGGUAAAAAUUUAAAGCUUCUGCUUUUCCUCAGAGGGAAUGGACCACCUAAAAUCAGAAAGACAAAUAUGGAUAUGGGUGAUCAAAGUUUUUCAUUGUUAUCAUUACAGUUAUUAAAGCUCCAGUGAAGAGUUUUGAACCAAUUGUGAAACUCACUGAAAUGAAUACUAAAGCCUCUCAAUGACCUACAGAAGCCAACAAGACCAUCUGCAACAUGUUCACUAUCAUUUAUAAUGUACAUUUUAAUGUCUAAAACAGAGAAGAUUGUCAGCCAGCUGUAGAAAAAGCAUUUCUUUAAAACUUUGUAACAGUAAAUAUCAGUAAUGAAUGACAUAUUUGAUUACUGAGAAAAGUGGGGUUAGAUUCAUUUUGAAGAAAAAGCUCUUUGGCAUUUCCAGAAUAAAAUCAGUUCAGUAAUAAAAUGUAAAUCUUUGACCGCUGGGGUUGAAAAACUUGACACAGACCAAACAUGGCUCACAUAAGUUUUAACAUAAAUUGACCUCUUGUACAUUGAAUAUAACAUGAAUUGAUAUGUUUGAUUCAAACCUUAGUUUUAAGACACAUUUCUCUCAAACAGAUCUUUUUCUAUACCACUCAGUAACACCUCCUUUUGUUGUGCUCCUCUCUCAUGUGGAGCCUCUCAGGGGUCUUUCCCAGUUUCCCUUUUAUUCACUGUAAUCAUGCUCCCCUGGGGCAUGGUGUAAACUUUCACUGCUGUGCAGAUGAUACUCAGCACUAUAGCCCUAUGCCCUGUUAAAACCUGGCACCACAGCUGUGUCUCACAUUAUGCCCUGAACAUUUUCUGCAGUUGAAUGACUCCAAAUCUACAGUUAUUGUCAUUUGCAAGUUUCCCAACGUGUCCUUGUAAAGUCGAGAACGUCUUCACUCUGGACAGAUGAUAGAUGCAUAUAGCAUCGUUUCGCUCCUUUUUAUGCACUUUUGAAGGCUGUUUUCUUUUUUCCUUUUCUUUUCUUCCUCUACGCUUGUCUUGCUGCGAGAUGCGGUCGUCACCAUGUUUGUGUUUUUCUGAUACUAUGGCAACGAGACUCGGCUCCUAUUGGUCCACGUGACAAAAAUCGCUUCACCCCUUUGCAUAUUCGAUUGCGCGUGUGCAAGUAUCAUUACGCCGCAGAAAGGUAAUAGUUCGACACCGAAACACUGAUUACUAAAAAUCGACUGGAUGGCAGUAGAUAUAUUUUUUAGUACUUACUAUCAAUAGAGCUAUUUUAUGAAUCACAGUUUAUGUUGCCCCACUAAAGUGGAACGAAAUUCACUUUCUAGGCACUUGUUCCUCUGUCCCAAUACAGCCUAAGAGGUCUGAGUACAUCCUGGAAAUUUCAUCUUGUUUGGAGCAAAUUUGACCGCUUUCUGAUGCUUAAUGUACAGUCUUAAUUGGAUAUUGCCACGCCUUUCAUGGGCAGUUGAAAGCAUUUAGGGAAGUCAAACCACCACAGAUGUGAUCCUCAGGGCGGGCAGAACAACAUAGUAAAAUUUCAUCAUCCUAGGUUAAAAGGAAAAAAAUCUACCCCCCUGUGAAACUGGAGAAAAUCAGGGUCUGUGAAUUAUGCAUUCUUACAGCCUUUGUGAGCAGUAUUGAUGAAGAUCAAAUCCAGGUUCUAAUAUUUUGACUUGGGCUGCAUACACCAAAUUUAAGACACAUAUAAGGCCUAAGAGUAGUAUGUACUGUGAAUUUCAGCCAUUUCAGACUCAAGAGCAUCCAGUGUCCCAGGUUAGUUUUGUGUUUCUUAAAUCCAGAACUCACUGGCCUGAUUAAAUUACUGAUGGGGGCUCUUCAGUUUCCUCUAUGACAUGUAAAAUGAAAGGAGGGUUAGGGUUAGGUUUGGGUACCUGGAUUAUUCAAAGGCUGACAAAACUCACCUGCUGCUGCAGCCGCCAUGACCUCUCUCUGCUGGAAACACCACAGACCAAUUCAACUACAAAAGAGCAGAGUUUGAGGGUUUGAAAAAAAGGAGUACAAUCUAACAUCUGCUGCCAUCUAAACAAAGACUUUUUUCAGGAUAGGCCUUCAUAUUUCAGCAAGACCUUGACAAACCACAUUCUGACAACAGAGAUUAUAACAGCAUGGCUCUGUCGUAGAAGAGUCUUGCUGAGAAACUGGUCUGACUGCAGUCCUGACAAUCAUUUAUCUGGAACAUUUCAUAUGAUGAACCAAAAACAGCAAAGGAGACCCUGAACCUUUGAUUGGCUAAAAUCCUGACAAGCAAGAAUUGGACAUUAUUUUACUUUCACAAAAUGAGCAUUUAUUUCUAUUUCGAGCAAAACAGAUCAUUUUAAUAGUUCACAACACAGGACCAAGCAACUACUGUCAUCUACUGGUAAGAAGCUGCACCAUAAAAUAACUGUCUGUUCAGAACUGAGCUGCCAGAGUUUAAACCAGGAUCAGAAAACACGACCAUGUCACUUCUGUGCCAGCAGCUUUACACUUGCUACCUGUACCUUUUAGAACUGAAGUCUGGAUUUUACUGAUGACUUUUAAAGCCCUACGUUGCCUUUGAAACAUGUUAGUGUUGUACAAGUUGACCAAUACAUUGAGAUCCUCAGGUGUUUUUCCUGAGCUGUUUUAUGAUUACAAUGGUUAUGUUGGUGAAUACUGUCAUUCUUUCCACAAACUCUAUUUCGUUGCUUUGUCACCACUCAGAUUUUUGUCCUCUUCAUUCCUCUAGCUGUGUUUGUUUCUUUCAUUUGCUUUAUUUCCCUGUGUGCUUGCUGUAAAGCACUUUGGAUCAACUAUAGUUUGUCUAAAGCGCUCUAUGAUAAAAUGUGGUUUUAUAUACUUCUUUUGAGAAUUCUUUGAAAUGAAUAGUACAUCUUUUAAAUGUGGGUUAUUUCUUGAUCUUGGCCUUGUGUGAUUUUAGCUCUAUUUUUAUUCAAUAUUUUUUCCUGCCCUUGUAAAGCGAUAUGUAACCUGGUUUUUGAAAGUUAUUAUUGUUGCUGUUGUUGUGAAAAUAUUGCAUUGCCACCUGCUUAAAAUAAUGGUAUAAGUAUUUUUUUACUCAUGCCAUUAUUUUAAUAAGGUGAGAAAAUGUCUAUUCUCUUUGAUGCAGCUGGAUCAACAUCAUCUACAUCAUUUUUUAACCAAAAUGAACAUGUCAGACCAAAGCUGAUGACUUGUGCUGCUCCUGACAUCUAAAAUGGCGUCCGGAAUUUACGUCCUGUCUAAGGCUCGUCAUCACAGACUUCUCAGCAAGUCAACUCAUGUCUAAAAAUCUGAAUAAAUAACCAAUGAGUGGAAACAAGCAGGAGUUUAAUUCAGAACAGCCAAAUAAAAGAGGGGCUGUGAGGAUUUUCAAAGUUAAUGUGAAAUCGGAUCAUCCUGCAUUUUUCAUUGGGGUUUGUUCGUUAGAGUAGAGGAUAAUCAGACAUCACAUUUAGUUUGUAUAAUUCAGUUGGCAUAACAAUUAAUACAAAACAAACGUAAAGGUAAUCUACCAUGACUUGUAUCAUUUGGAUCUUUUUAAAUCAACUUUUAAUCGAGUUUACUCACCUCUGGAAUUUCUCGCUGUGACACAAUCAGCAGUGGAAGUAAAAGUAAAAAAUCAGAUAAGGGAUUCGGACAGGUUAGGUCACUAAAACAAAAAAAAAAAUGUAACACUUAUAACCUUUUUUUAUUGGCUCAGAACUCUGUCACUCACAGCAGUCCUGCUCAGAUAUUAGUUUGAUUGGCUGUCACACAAGGACGAUUCUUGAUUGGAAAAUAACCCACCCCAUCUCAGAGCCCAACCCCACCCACCCCACCCUACCCUCACACACACACACACACACACACACACACACACACACACACACACACACACACACACACACACACACACACACACACACACACUAUAAGUAAGUCCAAACUAGACAUUUUCUACACAAGCUGCAACAACAGAUAUAACAGCUAAAUGAGACUUUAUGAUCCAAUGCAUUUGCUGAAGGUUUAUGUUUUUUGUAUUUGCAAUCAUAAUUUUGCGUCAUGUAGAGCUGAUCAGACAAGCAAACAAUCAUAGUCAGAAAAUUGUCAUGUUUAAGAUGUUUAUAAUCAUGUAGUUUGAUGGUAAAGUCAAUGCCUGAGGCUUUUACUUUCACACAAUUAUUACGCAUAAUUUAUUCCCCCCAAAAUAUGGAUGUAUAAAAUCACAUGAGCAUCUUAUCUAGAAAUUGAGUUUUUAAUGUAUUUUCCCCCAAAAUUUUCUUUUUUCUUCCACACGAAUACAUGAAAUAAUAACUAAUCAAAAAUAACUUUAAAAAGGGCAUCUCUUCGGCAUUAAAUUUAGUCUUUUAUUCAAUAUCUGUAUUGCUGAGCCUCUACAGUAGGCUAUACCCUUUAAGUUACUUACAUUUGGACUCCUAAAAAAGUCUCUUAUGUCCCGUUUUCUUUUCUUUGACAUCCUUCAUACUUGAAUCCUUUAUACCACACACUCAUGCACGCACGCACACACACACACACACACGCACGCAAACACACACAAACAUAAAUGUAAAUGUAAAUGACACCACUGAUACUAAAAUCCAUUUAAGCUGACGUGAUCCAGGCACAAAAUGCCAAACAUGUUGAUAUACACUUCGUGGUUGCAGAUAACUUGCACUGUCUGCCUCCUAUCCAGUCCAAGCAAACACAAAGUUUUACACUUAAAAAUAAAUGAAUAAUUGAAGAAAGAAAAAAAGAAAAGACAAAGAGGCCUUUUUGAAAACUGAGGUAUGAAAAAAAGGUCACUCAGUCAUCAGGUGUCACCUCUGAGUGGUGGUUUCUGAAAAGAAAAAGUGUUUUGUGAAAUAUGUUCUUGAUCACACUUGCUGUUUGGCAAAUUAUUAUUAUUAUUUUUUAUUAAGUGUCCCCAGCUUCUUUCAGUGCUGUAGUGUUGCAGUCAUUGGCUUUUGAACAUAGUCGGAUGGAUGGUAUUGGGUUCAAAAUCCUGGUAGAGGGCCUUCUUUGCGGUGCUAGAAUUUUCAUGCUUUACUGCUGCAGGCAUGACACUCCUUAAAUCGUCACAAAGUUGUAGAGAGCAGAUAAAACUGAAGGAAUAAGCCCUGCAAAACAGCACUUUAUAGUAAUGAUUAGCACUAAUGCCUCAUACUGAGCAGGUUCUGGGUUUGAGCUCUGGCAGAGAUCUUCUCAUGGGUUCCUGGAAGUUUCUGGUUCCAAAUUCAUGUUAGAGCUUUCCUUGUUGCGCUUAAAUUGACUAGUCUUCUAACACUGGAGUAUAGAUCACACAUUUAGAGUCCCCUGACAGAUUGCAUUAUUGGUGUUGUUUUAAAACCUGGAGAACACAUAUGUGUUCCUUUGACUGCAGCACACUGAUCAGAUGUUCAGGUCUGUGGGCUUCACUUACUACAGAGAAGUAUCUCUGAUUUCAAGCAAAACAGAUCAUUUUAAUAGUCCACAACACAUGACCAAACAACUACUGCCAUCUACUGGUAAGAAGCUGCACCAUAUAACAACUGUGUUCAGAACUGAGCUGCCAGGGUUUAAACCAGGAUCAGAAAACAUGACCACAUCACUUCUGUGCCAGCAUCUUUACACUGGCUACCUGUACCUUUUAGAACUGAAUUCUGGAUUUUACUGAUGACUUUUAAAGCCCUAUGUUGCCUUUGAGACAUGUUAGUGUUGUACAAGUUGACACACAUUAAGAUCCUCAAUAUGAGUCUUCUGGUUAUUUCAGAUAUCAGACCAACAUCUAAAGAGGACAGAAAAAUCUAAGGCUCCAAAACUAUAAGAAGAUCUGCUGGAGGAGAUCAGAUCAGCUGGGUCAGUGAUCACUCUUAACUCCUCUCUGAAAACACACUCUUGUCUUAGAGCCUUUCCUGAACCCAGCUGAAUUUGAUUUUUUAUUUGAGUUUAUUUUAUUUUUUAUCCACACUAUAAAGCUCAGGAACCCUUUUACUUACUCUUUCAUUUGCUUUAUUUCCCUGUGUGCUUGCUGUAAAGCACCUUGGAUCAACUAUAGUUUGUCUAAAGCGCUCUAUGAUAAAAUGUGGUUUUAUAUACUUGUUUUGAGAAUUCUUUGAAACGAAUAGUACAUCUUUUUAAAUGUUUUAAACAUCUUUUAAACGUGGGUUAUUUCUUGAACUUGGCCUUGUGUGAUUUUAGCUCUAUUUUUAUUCAAUAUUUUUUUCUGCCCUUGUAAAGCACUUUGUAACCUGGUUUUUGAAAGUUUUUAUUGUUGCUGUUGUUGUGAAAAUAUUACAUUGCCACCUGCUUAAAAUAAUGGCAUAAGUAUUUUUUUUUAAACCUAGGCCAUUAUUUUAAUAGGGUGAAAAUAUGUCUAUUCUCUUUGAUGCAGCUGGAUCAAAAUCAUGUAAAUCGUUUUUUAACCAAAACGAACAUGUCAGACCACAGCUGAUGACUUUUGCCCCCUCUGACAUCUAAAAUGGCGUCCGGAAUUUACGUCCUGUCUGAUGCUCGUCAUCACAGAGUUCUCAGCAAGUCAACUCAUGUCUAAAAAUCUGAAUAAAUAACCAACUAGUGGAAACAAGCAGGAGUUUAGUUCAGAACAGCCCAGUAAACGAGGGGCUGUGAGGAUUUUCAAAGUUAAUGUGAAAUUGGAGCAUCCUGAAUUUUUCAUUGGGGUUUGGUAGUUAGAGUAGAGGAUAGUCAGACAUCACAUGUAGUUUGUAUAAUUCAAUUGGCAAAACAAUUAAUACAAAAUAAACGUAAAGGUAAUCUACAAUGACUUGUAUCAUUUGGAUAUUUUUAAAUCAACGUUUAAUCGAGUUUACUCACCUCUGGAAUUUCUUGCUGCGACACAAUCAGCAGUCAAAGUAAAAGUAAAAAAUCAGAUAAGGGAUUCGGACAGGUUAGGUCACUUUAAAAAAAAAAGUAACAAUUAUAACCUUUUUUUUAUUGGCUCAGAACUCUGUCACUCACAGCAGUCCUGCUCAGAUAUUAGUUUGAUUGGCUGUCACUCAAGGACAAUUCUUGAUCGGGAAAUAUCAUAGACUGUAUAUAGCAUGGACAGCCUGGUUCCGCCUUCCGCCUGUACGGAUUUAAAGCCAAAAAGCCCUCGGUAAUUCCGGGGUUUUCUACACUUCCUUGAAACCAGAGCUGUGCCGUAGCGUUAUACGCAGACGUUUUUGGCUGGGCGGGAGAAUCGGCUCGAUAACGCUCCGCUCAAAAAGUGCCUCCGCCCCCGGAUGUCCUUCCAGCCUUUCAUUCGUAACGCUAAUAGCUUCCCCGCUCGUCGCGACCAAGAAUAAGUAAGUUCUACUUCUCCUAAUAUAAUGUAAAAUGUGUCAGCGGUCAUGUCACAUGUCGGUUAACACAGUUUACUGCAGAACAACUCAUUUUUCCAAUGCAACAAAAGAGAAAAAUCAAGAAAACGCUAGCAAACCCGAUCGGUCUUGACGAUGAACGAAAAAGAGUGACGCACAAGCGGCAAGUGCAAAGUGUAGAGAAUGACGCAAUUUCCUGUUUUUAUGACUCCUAGUAACUUUAAAAUGGAGCUGCAGAGAGAGAAAAAGACCUGAACAUAAACCAGUCUAAUAAUAACUACAUGUCAACAUCGCAAUCAGGGGUGAGAAAAGUGUAUUUCUGAGUGUGCUGUUCUUGGGGUGGCUUCAUCCGGUGAGGAGGCAGACUAUAUUCUACAUACAGUACAUUCUACAUACAGUCUAUGGUCUUAACAUUUAGACUGAACAAAAGGACUGGUCAAAGCCAUGAUGCUGUUUACCCACACAUGCACUCUAACAGAAAAUAAAAGUGACAGGAAUGAUGAAAAACAUUAAACUCUAAAAGCAGCAGGAGUCUUUGUCACAGCAGGGGAGCACCACUGGAAGCUCUCUGGAGUUUGACAUUGAGUUCAUGUGCUGCCUGAAUCCUGUCCUUCAGUCAAUGAGUUGUAAUGAUUGAAUUUGAAAUUGAUUAUGGUAUUUUGGAUCUCCUGCAGUUGGGUUUAUUUACUGAUUCAGUUUUCAGCUUUUAUCUUCUGUGCUUUUCUUUUAUUUGAUUUUUCUGUUUUGGUUGGUUAUUUUUGCUUGCUUGUCACAUCACUUUGUAACUGUUUUAUGUAAUUUUAUAAAUACCAUUGUUAUAAUUUUCGUAGUAGUAGUAUUUAAUGCAAAAACUGACUUCAUUUAAAUCAAGUCAUAAAACAUGUAGUUAUCAAAAAAUACAGAAGAAGCAGUAGUAUGGAAAACUUGAACAGUAAAUAACAGAUAUGUCAGCACGUAAGAAUGUGUGAUUAUUUUUCUUUUAUAUAUGUUCUUUGUUUAGUAUCUGUCAUUUUGCUGCAGACAAAAGAUCAAAACUGGACCUUAAACAAGAAAGACAGCAACAAGUUGUUUAAAUAUUUCAUCUCUUUAUUCCAAAAAUAGAGAAAAGAAAAAGACAUCUGCAAAACUUGUGAUAAUGAACAAAUAGCAUUAAGAUUUUAGAAACAUUAAAAACAUGUUUACCAAAUCAGUAGCUGUCAACUGGUGUACAGUUUUUAACAUAUUUAAGAUAUAUAAAAAAAAAAUCAUGGAAGUAAAAUAAAUCAUGUUUUGUAUGAUUCAAGAAAAAACAAGACUCUACAGAUUUUUUUUAAUUUUAUUACAUUAUUUUAUUGUACAUUAUUCGCUCAUUGAUAUAACUAUAUUCAUGGUUCAAAAUAGAAAAAAUAUAUAUGUUUGCUGUUUUUACACUAAAAGUCAAGUAAAAUCUGAACUAGUUUAGAAAUGUCUAUGAUGAUAAAUAAUGACAGAUCUGAUAGUUCUGUUCGUUUAGUGCAACAAUGUAAAAAACACAGUAUACCACAGAUGAUGGCUUUUUUCACCUGCAGCUGGAGUCCCGACUCUCAUAACUGAAAAUCUCAUUAAGUCUCUUGCAGUAGAACAUCAUUUUGGAGAAGGAAACAAGGCAGACUAGGAAAGCUUACUACUGCUAGCUGCUAAGCUUCCUGGUACUUCCACUAAACUAGCAGUUCCUUUUCAGCCCCUUCACCUUCAAACAUGUUGUAUAAACACUUAUAUUGUCAUCAUGCAUCUAUGAGUGGAUUUUGUAUUUAGAACAUCUGUCUCUGUUUUUGCUUCACAUUUACUAUCUUUGCCAUGAUUUUAUCUCGUCUGAUUUCUGCUUUGGUCAGCUGGCUUCCUGUUUGGCUAUCGAGUUGCUCCACUGUUUUACUAACAGUGUUUGGCCAUCCUCAGGGAUCCCCCAGCAUGUAAAGAUCUCAGGUCAAAUAUAUUGAACAUGUUUAGAAUUAGCAAUUCUGAAUCAGGGAGGCUCUGAUUAUCUUGGGAGAGAAGAAAAGUCACUUUUUACACACCUCACACCACAGGAUAAUCUGGAAAGAUAUCACUUAGAACCAUUCCAUGAUCAAUCUUUUGAUGACUUUCACUGCAAGGAGGAAAUCGAACCCAAGUGUGUGCCUCUCUUUAGGAAAUAAACACUGUACAAUGUCCUCCGUUCAUAUUUGACCAACUUCAGUCAUUUUACUGUUUUUCCAUGUUUAACUUUGAUAAAGUACUUUUUAUGGUUUAUGUUUACGGCCAGUUUGUGCAGCAGUUAAGGCAAUCACUUUGCUUUAGUUUUGUUGGUGACAUAACUUACAAUGGAGCAUCACUACUGUUUCUAUGGUAACACAUUGACUAGGCUUCAGAUGAAAUUUCAUUACAGCCAUAAAC